rnacentral:rRNA from 1 species
UUUACAAUGAAGAGUUUGAUCCUGGCUCAGGAUGAACGCUAGCGGCAGGCUUAACACAUGCAAGUCGAGGGGUAACAUUGUAGCUUGCUACAGAUGACGACCGGCGAACGGGUGCGUAACGCGUAUAGAAUCUGCCUUGUACAGGAGGAUAGCCUUUAGAAAUGAAGAUUAAUACUCCAUAAUGUUGGUGAGUGGCAUCGCUUACUAAUUA